rnacentral:ncRNA from 2 species
CAACCUGGAAGAGGCGCGUCGCCCAGGCAGUGUGUUGGAGGAACCGUAUCCAGCGAAGGCAUAUGAUGGGGUGCGACGCCGAGGUAUUACCCACGCGGAGUGGGACGUAUCGACCACAGGGGCUGAAUCCUCUGGGUUGUCACCGGAACGUCUGAUGAACAGACGUUUUGCAAGGUGGGGCGCUUCCGGGUGA